UACAGAGGUCCCAAGCGUUGUUCGGAUUCACUGGGCGUAAAGGGUGCGUAGGUGGCCGGGUAAGUCUGACGUGAAAUCUCCGAGCCUAACUCGGAAACUGCAUCGGAUACUAUCCGGCUUGAGGAUUGGAGGGGGGACUGGAAUACUUGGUGUAGCAGUGAAAUGCGUAGAUAUCAAGUGGAACACCAGUGGCGAAGGCGAGUCCCUGGACAACUCCUGACACUGAGGCACGAAAGCUAGGGGAGCAAACAGG
rnacentral:rRNA from 1 species